GGUAAACAGUUGGGCUCAUAUUGAAACGGGUGGAAUCCCCAAUCAUAAAUAUCAAAGCGAGGGAAAUCCAAACGACGAGAGGCGGCAAAAUUUACCAAAUUUUGUUGAAACAAAUAUAUUAGCUCUGUAUCUCUUCUCCGUCUCCAAACACUGAACAGUUUCAUAAUCCAAUUCUACCAUGGAUAUACUUCGAAAUCUCUAUAUUGAGCUACGAUAUUCAGCUUCUCAUGAUUGUUCUGAAGUUCUCCAGGAGCGUUGUUGAUUUGGAUUGAUGUUUCAACUUGAAUAUGCAGCAUCGGUGUAGUCAGAUUGAAGUUGUAACACAGUGAUAUAAACAUCGAUGGCAGUUUCUAGAGGAAUCUGCGGUCAACAGCGGGAUUUUGCAGUGAGAUGCAUGUUACUUUGCGAGGUGAAUAUAUGCCUUUAUGAUGGCUUUAUUACUAGUUUGUAAACUUCAAAUUAAAGUGUAAAGUGGUCAUAUGUUGAUCGUGGUUUAAGAUGAAUAUGAGUUAUUCCGUUAGUUGGUUUCCUUAUAUAUCUUGGUGUUAAUGUGCUUUAACUCAAAAAGAACGAGUUAUAUGAGUUUGUUUGCUUCUAAAAUCUCUUCUUCAUAUGUUCUGUAUGUCAAAAGCUACAGGAAGUUGAUGACAGAUCCAUUGAGACGUCAAACUCAAGGGCUUUUGGCUCAAAUAUGAAAGCAGAUAUAUAGUUUAAAACCCACCCUCUCACUUAAAGUUCUUCAUUCUAAAAUUUCAAUAUGCUAAUGCUACUACACAUGUUUAUGCUCAUCUUAUUGCUAAUGCCUAUGUAUAGAGGUUGAGAGAUGUCUCCAUGCUCUUCCGAUGACAGUUAAUAAGGUUUUCUCAGCUUCAAACAAAGGUAUGAUGUAAGAAAAAAACAGCUGUUAGGACUUCCAAGUGUCUUUAUGCAUCUACUUUCAGUUGUGAUUUUCAAAACUGUAUGUCUAGCUAGUAGUUGCAAACAGCAGAUGUAAUUGUUAGAUGUAUUUCCGUGAUGUCUUGGCUGACUUAUGAAGUAUUUAUGAAGUAUGAAUAGCGUAUUAUUUCAA